rnacentral:rRNA from 1 species
AGAGUUUGAUCAUGGCUCAGAACGAACGCUGGCGGCGUGCUUAACACAUGCAAGUCGAACGCGAACGAGUUCUUCGGAACUUUAGUAGAGUGGCGCACGGGUGAGUAACGCGUAAGUAAUCUACCCUCGCAUUUGGGAUAACCCACCGAAAGGUGUGCUAAUACCGAAUACGUCUGUAAUUAUACUUUGAAUACAGAGAAAGGUGGCCUCUUCAUGAAAGCUACUGUGCGGGGAGGAGCUUGCGUACCAUUAGCUAGUUGGUAGGGUAAUGGCCUACCAAGGCAUUGAUGGUUAGCGGGUCUGAGAGGAUGAUCCGCCACACUGGAACUGGAACACGGACCAGACUCCUACGGGAGGCAGCAGUGAGGAAUAUUGCGCAAUGGGGGCAACCCUGACGCAGCGACGCCGCGUGGAUGAUGAAGGCCUUCGGGUUGUAAAAUCCUGUCAGAUGGGAAGAAAUGGUGCUAGUUUAAUACACUGGUACUUUGACGGUACCAUCAAAGGAAGCACCGGCUAACUCCGUGCCAGCAGCCGCGGUAAUACGGAGGGUGCAAGCGUUGUUCGGAAUUACUGGGCGUAAAGCGCGCGUAGGCGGUAAUAUAAGUCAGAUGUGAAAGUCCAUGGCUCAACUAUGGAAGUGCAUUUGAAACUGUAUUACUUGAGUACUGGAGGGGGUAGUGGAAUUCCCGGUGUAGAGGUG